AUACCCCCCGCAAACGAAGUUUGGGGGGGUAUAUAGGAAUCACCUUGUCCGUCUGUCUAGCUGUCCGUCUGUCUGUGCAAUCGUGUCCGGUCCAUAUCUUUCUUACAGAGGGACAUUAGAAUCUACUACUCCACACUAAGAUUGCUCAUGACCUAAGGGUGUGUCAUGUCCUUGACCCAAGGUCAUUUGGGGAAGUUCAAGGUCACUGGAAGAAGAAUUUCAUAAUUCGUGUCCGGUCUAUAUCUUUCUUAUUGAUAAACUUGGUAGGUUCUCAUUUCACACAAAGAUUGCCCAUGACCCAAGGGUGUGUCAUGACCUUGACCCAAGGUCAUUUGAGAAAGUUCAAGGUCACUGGAAGAAAAUUUUCAAAAAUCAUGUUUGAUACAUAUCUUUUAUAGAUAAACUUGGUAGGUUCUCAUUUCACACAAAGAUUGCCCAUGACCCAAGGAUGUGUCAUGACCUUGACCCAAGGUCAAUUUGGAAAGUUCAAGGUCACUGGAAGAAAAUUUUCAUAAUUCCUGUCCGGUCCAUAUCUUUCUUAUGGAUAAACUUGGUAGGUUUUUAUUUCACACAAGGGUGUUCUCAUUUCACUGAAAGAUUGCCCAUGACCCAAGGGUGUGUCAUGACCUUGACCCAAGAUUAUCUGGGGAAGUUCAAGGUCACUGGAAUAAAAAUUUCAUAAUUGGUGUUUGAUACAUAUUUUUAUUAUGGAAAAACUUACUUCUGAAAAACCCAGCGGGGGGUAUUUUGUCCCGUUUGGACAGUUCUAGUUUAUAA